CCUACGGGAGGCAGCAGUAGGGAAUCUUCCACAAUGGACGAAAGUCUGAUGGAGCAACGCCGCGUGAGUGAAGAAGGGUUUCGGCUCGUAAAGCUCUGUUGGUAGUGAAGAAAGAUAGAGGUAGUAACUGGCCUUUAUUUGACGGUAAUUACUUAGAAAGUCACGGCUAACUACGUGCCAGCAGCCGCGGUAAUACGUAGGUGGCAAGCGUUGUCCGGAUUUAGUGGGCGUAAAGCGAGUGCAGGCGGUUCAAUAAGUCUGAUGUGAAAGCCUUCGGCUCAACCGGAGAAUUGCAUCAGAAACUGUUGAACUUGAGUGCAGAAGAGGAGAGUGGAACUCCAUGUGUAGCGGUGGAAGGCGUAGAUAUAUGGAAGAACACCAGUGGCGAAGGCGGCUCUCUGGUCUGCAACUGACGCUGAGGCUCGAAAGCAUGGGUAGCGAACAGGAUUAGAUACCCGUGUAGUC
rnacentral:rRNA from 1 species